rnacentral:rRNA from 1 species
AACAAAACCCUGUCGUAGUCGAAGUGGGAAGAGCUCAAAUUUAAAAUCUGGCGGCCUUCUGGACGUCCGAGUUGUAGUCUGGAGAAGUGUUAUCCGCGUCGGACCGUGUACAAGUCUCCUGGAACGGAGCGUCAUAGAGGGUGAGAAUCCCGUCCAUGACACGGACGCCCGAUGCUAUGUGAGGCACUCUCGAAGAGUCGAGUUGUUUGGGAAUGCAGCUCAAAAUGGGUGGUAAAUUCCAUCUAAAGCUAAAUAUUGGCGAGAGACCGAUAGCGAACAAGUACCGUGAGGGAAAGAUGAAAAGCACUUUGGAAAGAGAGUUAAACAGUACGUGAAAUUGUUGAAAGGGAAACGCUUGAAGUCAGUCGCGUCCCGUGGAACUCAGCCUGGUUUCGACCUGGUGUACUUUCCAUGUGGACGGGUCAACAUCAAUUUCGGCCGGUGGACAAGGGCGAGGGGAAUGUAGCGUUGCUUCGGCGACGUGUUAUAGCCCCCCGUCGCAUACACUGGCUGGGAUUGAGGACCGCAGCACGCCCUUGUGGCCGGGGGGUUCGCCCCACGUAACGUGCUUAGGAUGUUGGCAUAAUGGCUUUAAGCGACCCGUCUUGAACCCCGGACCA